UACAGCCACGUCAGCGCACCUA
rnacentral:siRNA from 1 species